rnacentral:sRNA from 1 species
CUUGGUGUUGUCCUAUGGGGGUUACCAUACCAAAACAGGGACAUGACUUGAUGUUCCCACUGCCAUCUGAAGGAAUGACCACAAAUUUGAGAUUGCCAAUAUUUCUAGGUAGUCUUCAUGACAGUGUGGAUAGUCCAACAAGCAGGGACUCUGUUCAGAGUAUUUCAAACUGAAAUAUAUUUAGGAUCCACCAUUGAUUUUGAUCCUUGCUUACUCCAUGACUUUUCUAGAUUAUUAAAAUAAAUGAUUCCUUGGUCUCACGAAUUCCGCUC